UUUGGAGAUGACGGACGUAGUCAUACAUUCAAGUCCUCGUUGGAGAGCACAAAUGUGAGGUAUCUCUGAGAAGUCAGGUCGCGUCCAGCGCCAGCUUACAUCCUGAAUGACGGCAAGCUACUGUUGCACAACGUUUUUCACUCACAGGUUUUCCAUGAAGCCUGCCUUUCACCUCCACCUGGAAGGCGCCGGCGCCAGAGCCAGAGCCGCCGCGGCCGCCGCCGGCAGUGCCGGCGUCCCCGCGUCCUCGCGCUGUGUCCCGCGCCCCGUGACACACGCACGCGCCUAGGCUGCAGGGCGGAGCCGGACGGCCACGUCGCACCCGUGAUCCUCCCUGUGCGCGGCGCAUCUGAGCGGGCCCCUCGCGGGAGGCGGGCACGGGAAGCCCGGUCGUCAGUGGGAACGAGGGGUCGCCUGCCUCGCCGUUCCCGAACUCUCGGCAGCUCCUGCUAGCCCCCUGUGGCUUCAGACAUUUUCUCACCCCGUGUCUCGUGCUUCCCCCCAGCCUGUCGGCCGCUCCGCCCAGGGCGCCCGUGCUGCCUGUUGUCCUGAGCCGCCAGCACUGGCCGGCCGCCCCGGACCCGGUCUCUUCCCUGGAUGGCUGCGCGUCGUCCGGUAACUCUGGCCUAAAGCUCUUCCUGAGCCCCAGCUCUGCCUGCAGACGCCUCCAUGAGCACCGAGCACCGAGUGUGGGGCAGGUGCACCUCCUCUCCCUGCACUCCCUGCCCGGCCAGAAAGAAACUGUGCUUCUCGGAAACGGAAACUCCUUAGGCUUGCCCUGGCCACGGACUGAGUAGUCUUCGGUGGAAUGUUCCCUACUCUCAACCACAGGUGACCCUAUCUUCAAAGUACACCUUAAACCAGACCUCUUGUCACCAGCGCCACUGCCGGCCUGGCCUGUCUCCCACCUGGGCUUGUGCUGGAGCCUCCUUAGGCGUCUCCCUACGACGCCCCUUCGAAUGUAAGCCCACGGCAUCAUCUGGUCUGCAUCCUCCAGUACUGCUCCCCCUUCCUUGGACUAAAAGUCUCCAUAUCCUUACAACAGCUUACAAAACCUGUGGUGAUCCCUGCCUCUGCUGCCCUUAGAUCUCAUCUCCGGCCAGGGGCCACUUGCUCACCUGCAUCAAUCACCCACCACAGAUGUCCUGCGCUCUUCCUAGGACACUCCUCCCCUGGACUUGGUUGAGCUCACCCCUCACUCGCUCCCGGCUUCCCCCAGAGAAGCUCCUUGCGCAUCCCGUGCCUGACAGCACCCAGCCCUGGCUUUGCGCCCUGCACCCUGCGCCUGCUCUGUGUCCGCAGCAUCACCCCCUCACAAACAGCUGCCUCCUGUCUCUCCCCAUCAGAAAGCCGGCUUCCUGAAGUCAGUAACUUCCUGUUUGCAGCCUGCCUCUGAGCACACAGAAGCAUGGUGGAGGCACAAACACUGAACUGAGCACUUAGUAAAAACUUGUGGGACAAAGGAGCAAGAGUAGCUGAGAGAAUGGCUGCUGGGACCUGAGGAAGAAGCCCAAGCCGGCUGGAUGGACAGACAGAGAUCCACCAAAGAUGGAGAGAAGAGCCACUGCCUGCUCCUGACCUGCCAGUUCCGAUCUGCAUGGGGCCUUAAUAUCGGUAAGCCCUUAUUUUCAGGAAGAUAAACAAGAAGGCUUCCUCAGCGCACUGGCCUGACAGAAGGCACUGAGGGAGGAACGGUUAGCAGCGGCGAAGCCAGUUCCUUUGGCUUCAGCAUCAAGCUUUCCAGCCACACCCGGAAUCGGCACAGUGGACGGGACCCCUGCCAGCUGGUCACUCAGUGUUCUUCUUUCCUUUCCAGUUCUUCUCUCUCUCUUCCAGUUCUGCCUGGGUGAAAGCUGCAGGGCCCCAGUUAGUGAUCAGGUGAGGGUUUUUUGAACCUAAGGAACAAACACAAGUUAAAUAUUCUUCAUAUUCUUUAAUUAACAUCACCAUUUUUCCAGACGAGAGAGUAACUUUCUACUUCAUUUCUUUUCUGAGGAAUACCCAUAAAUGUCACACCAGCCAAAACAACUAGAAGAUGUGUGCAAGGGAAUUAACUGAGCCUUCUUGUCUAGUACAGAGCAAGUUAUUCAAGAGAAAUGGACCCUCAACAGUGUGGUUUCUAUAUAUUUGGGCUAAAGAAGAUUUUUAGCACAAUUUAAACACACAAAUAAAACAGAAGGAUAAAUUGGAUAAAUAACUGUUUACUUCAAAGAGCGUGUUACCUGGCUCUAUCAACCGGAUUAAUCCUUCAUGCUGGGCCACUUUGUCCUUCCAGCUCUUGGUCUUACUAGUUGCCAUCUCCAGCUUCUUCUUAACUCCCUGCAACGGAAGUACAUGUUGGACUAUGCAAACACACGGGCAGUUUAAGACCAAAUAAAAAUGCCUGGGCAGUUCUGUUGAUUACCCCAUUAAAUCCAGCCACUCAAAGAAGCAGGAACUAUUAAUCACCCCCAUUUUACAGACGUGGAAACCAGGAGGCAGAGAGCUUGAAUAACCUGCCCAAAGUCACCCAGGGGACCUAAUGACACAGCUACACAUGAAUGUGUAAGAUCCUUGUAUAUGCAUUAAGGCUCACCAACCACAGCCCCCAACCCAGCCCUCCCUGUCCUGCAUGUGACACCAGGUGACUCUCCUCACCAGCUGGCACGACUCUGUCAGUAAAGGGCACUGAAGGGUCACAAAAGAAGGGGCUCUGCUCCGAGUCCCACUGUGCUCUCCUCAGCAGUUCCUGUGGCGGGCAGGGGACACACGGUGCUCACGCCUGUAGGUUUUAGUGUCAUCGCCUUGUGGGCUACUUCCCCCAGGGCCCAGUCACAGCUUGUCUCCUGUCCGUGGGGCCAAGGCCAUGCCCUCUCCAAGAUCAGAUCACAGCACUGGGCAGAAGGGGCGACGAGCACAUGUGUCCCCUUCCUGGGUGCUCUGUGUCAGUCUCAGAGGCAGGGGCUGUUUCUGUAUUCUUAGAGUCGUCUUUACUGCUGGGUAGAUAAUCCCAUUAGAGGUGUUUAUAUUAAACUUUCCCUGUUCAAAUCACUGUGUGCCUCUUGACUAGACUUUACCUGAUACACCUCACCACGUGGAAAAACUACUUCUUACAGCUAAGUAAAUACUGUUAUUUCUAAAUGGUUUUUUUUAAGUUUUUAAUUCCAUUUAACAAGUAGUGUUAUAUUAAUUUCAGGUGCUUAAAUGUUUGUGUUUAAAACUCUAAGUGCCUGUGUGCAGGGGUCAGGCGGGUCACCUCAUACUGCUCCAGCGCCUGCUUCCGCUCCAGCUCGAGCUGCGCCAGCUGCUCCAUGGCUUCCUGAAGGGCCCGCUCUUUCAGGACACGCUGAUUCUCCAGCUCCUGCUUCUCUGCUUCAGUUGUCUGAAUGGCCUGCUGCUGCUCCAAGUGCCACUUUUCCAGUUCAGCCCUCUUGGAAGACUCUUCUUCCAGCAACCUGCAAUGCGAAGAACUUAGGACCAAACCUGCCCGGGCUCCUGUGCCUGAGCCACCGAGACCGGCAGACAAGGCCUGACGUCAUCGAAUUCACCGCCCUCAUUUUGUAAAGAAACAACUAGGGGCCACAGAGGCCCAUAUUCACAGCGCUGGCAAGGUGCCUCAUGUGUCCUGGCCUGCUCCUCUUCGUUUCACCCUUUUUUGAAAAACGUUAAAUGACAUUUAUGAACGGUUUAAUGUGCCACAACUGGGCCAAGAGCUAAGUGUAUUUUCCCAAUCAGUCCUCACAGUAAACUUAAGUGCUGUUGACAUUCACAUUUCAACAAUGAAGAAAGUGAGACACAAAGGUUAGAUGACCUGUACCAGGUCAGUUGCCUGACAGGUGGUAGGGCCAAGUUUUGAAAAUUACCUGGUUGCUUCAACAUUAAAACAUUUCUCAUCAAGUACAAACAUAUUACCAAGGAAAAAGCUAACAAACUAAUGAUAAUGAAAGUGAGGGGAAAAGGAGCCAACAAAAGACAGAAUACAACAGAUAACCACUUACUGAACAACUACGACAGGUCACACAACUUGACUUCAUUAUUGUAACCCCCCAUCAAUCCUGCGGGAUAUCAUUAUCCCUCCAGAUGAAGCAAUAAAAAUUCAGAAUGUUUAAAAGUA